GUGAUCAAGUCAAUCAUCUUCAGCACAUGAUUUUAAACUAGAGUUCUCUCAAUCAUCCGAGCCCAAAACAAUUGCUUAGAUAAUUCAUAUCUAACAGUUCGGCUCUACUCUCCAUAUAGCUCUUUUAAAUUGAGCAGUAUAGAAGAAGCAUCCAUAUCCUCAUGUUGUCUCUGUAAUUCAUUACUCAUAAAGGCCAACAUUAUACAUUUGACAACCAUGCUAUCAUUUUGCCACAUC
rnacentral:lncRNA from 1 species